GCAUAUCAAUAAGCGGAGGAAAAGAAACCAACAGGGAUUGCCCUAGUAACGGCGAGUGAAGCGGCAACAGCUCAAAUUUGAAAUCUGGCCCCCGGGUCCGAGUUGUAAUUUGUAGAGGAUGCUUUUGGUGCGGUACCUUCCGAGUGCCCUGGAACGGGACGCCAUAGAGGGUGAGAGCCCCGUCUGGUUGGACGCCAAUCCUUUGUAAAGCUCCUUCAACGAGUCGAGUAGUUUGGGAAUGCUGCUCUAAAUGGGAGGUAUAUGUCUUCUAAAGCUAAAUAUUGGCCAGAGACCGAUAGCGCACAAGUAGAGUGAUCGAAAGAUGAAAAGCACUUUGAAAAGAGAGUUAAAAAGUACGUGAAAUUGUUGAAAGGGAAGCGCUCAUGACCAGACUUGGGCUUGGUUGAUCAUCCAGGGUUCUCCCUGGUGCACUCUUCCGGCCCAGGCCAGCAUCAGUUCGCUGUGGGGGAUAAAGGCUUCGGGAAUGUGGCUCCCUCGGGAGUGUUAUAGCCCGUCGUGUAAUACCCUGUGGUGGACUGAGGUUCGCGCAUUCGCAAGGAUGCUGGCGUAAUGGUCAUCAGCGACCCGUCUUGAAACACGGACCAAGGAGUCGUCUUCGUAUGCGAGUGUUCGGGUGUCAAACCCCUACGCGUAAUGAAAGUGAACGCAGGUGAGAGCUUCGGCGCAUCAUCGACCGAUCCUGAUGUUCUCGGAUGGAUUUGAGUAAGAGCAUACGGGGCCGGACCCGAAAGAAGGUGAACUAUGCCUGUAUAGGGUGAAGCCAGAGGAAACUCUGGUGGAGGCUCGCAGCGGUUCUGACGUGCAAAUCGAUCGUCAAAUAUGGGCAUGGGGGCGAAAGACUAAUCGAACCUUCUAGUAGCUGGUUUCCGCCGAAGUU
rnacentral:rRNA from 1 species